rnacentral:rRNA from 1 species
GAUGAACGCUGGCGGCGUGCCUAAUACAUGCAAGUCGAGCGAACAGACGAGGAGCUUGCUCCUCUGACGUUAGCGGCGGACGGGUGAGUAACACGUGGAUAACCUACCUAUAAGACUGGGAUAACUUCGGGAAACCGGAGCUAAUACCGGAUAAUAUAUUGAACCGCAUGGUUCAAUAGUGAAAGACGGUUUUGCUGUCACUUAUAGAUGGAUCCGCGCCGCAUUAGCUAGUUGGUAAGGUAACGGCUUACCAAGGCAACGAUGCGUAGCCGACCUGAGAGGGUGAUCGGCCACACUGGAACUGAGACACGGUCCAGACUCCUACGGGAGGCAGCAGUAGGGAAUCUUCCGCAAUGGGCGAAAGCCUGACGGAGCAACGACGCGUGAGUGAUGAAGGUCUUCGGAUCGUAAAACUCUGUUAUUAGGGAAGAACAAAUGUGUAAGUAACUAUGCACGUCUUGACGGUACCGAAUCAGAAAGCCACGGCUAACUACGU